rnacentral:RNase_P_RNA from 1 species
AGUAAAUCGGGCAGUUGCGGGCGGAAACCGAAAGGUUCCGUACGAGGAAAGUCCGAGCAUCGCAGAGCAGGGUGCCGGGUAACUCCCGGUGGAGGCGACUCUAAGGAAAGUGCAACAGAAAGAUAUACCGCCGCAUUUGCGGUAAGGGUGAAAAGGCGAGGUAAGAGCUCACCGUUGCCCGGGAGACCGGGCAGACGUGUAAACCCCACCCGAUGCAACACCGUAUACAGGAGGAUAAGCUUGCUCGGCGUCUCCUAAAAGGUGGCUGGAAGCGUGCAGAAAUGUACGUUGUAGAUAGAUAACUGCCAACGGCUCACGCCUGAACAGAACUCGGCUUACAGAUUUACUCAU